rnacentral:piRNA from 1 species
UGGUGCUGAUAGCUUAGAUAUCCUCUU